UUUCUCUGUCUACUUGAUUUUGUUUUAUGAUUUCCUGCUCUUUGAUCUUUUUGAACAUCCUAAAACAGCUGUGUAAGUCUAGCUCACAUAAGCCACUGGCCUUGUGCAGAUAGACACGGCCGUUCAUCCUGACCAGCCAGCUUGGUCUGGACAGAGAGAGCCACACAGGACUCCUCAGUGGUCUGACCUGUCAACACACUCAGAAAGCACAGGCCAUGCCAUCAGGAAGUGAUAUUUGGGAUGAGUGCAAUGUCAGAGGCACGAAGUUCAUUUGAGGGAGGAAUUCAAACCUUGAGAAGUUGGCUUUGCUGAGUUAGAUCAGAAAGACAGCGGAUCUGAUUUCUCUUUGGGCAGAGGUUUGUUUACUCUGUAUUCAGAGCCAACGGCCAUAUUAGUUUUGAACCACUUAAAUAUUUUUCCACAUUUGGGCAGAGUCACUCAUUUCCAAGAGAAGGGCACAGUAACAUACUGUUAUGACUCUCUGAGGACAGGGACUGUGCAUUCAUCCUUCAUCCCCUACCCUGUAUCUUCCACACUGCUCAAUAAAAGUUUAUUGACUUACAUUGUAAAACAGUUGUUUAAUAUGAGUCACGAUAUAAAUUUUUAUAUACCAUAACUUAACAUUUUCAGAUGGGUGUUGCAGCCGCUUUGGGAGCCUCUGUCUUAAUUGAGUAAUGGGGCCAUUGCUGCAGACGUUGCAGGAACCUCAUUGAAAUUGCUCUAUGGCCAUUAGACAUGAGCCACAGGAGACUGUCCCACGUCAACUUUGUGGCCACACUUCACAUGUAUGCACUGUGUGUAUGUAUAUAUGUCCGGAGCAAUCCUUGGAUGGGAUUUCCAGAACUGCUGUUUUAUAACUAUCAACUGGCAUGUUAAAACUAACCUCAGUGGAGAGAAAGCCAAUUGCUGGGGACACAUCGUGAGCCAAAGGAUUGUUGAACGUGUGACUGGCACACACAGAAAUAAGUUGGAAGUGAGCACGCAGAGACCUCUAAAACUUCUAAAGAACAGUCUGCAACGAUCCUGGAUAAAAUGAAAAGGCGAGAAAACAGCUUCUAUCACCAUGACAGCCACCUGGAAACAUCUAUCUCUGCUGGCAAGGGGGAGCAUUUGGAAAAUGGUGGAGGGGAAAGGAACCGGAUCCCGAAGGAGCUGCAGGCCCUAGCAAGGACGGACACGCAGAUGCCAGGAGAAUGUACCAGACCGGAUCGGAGGUGCCGGAUAAGGAACGGUGGACAUGAAGAGCUCCAGGUUCUCCGGCCUUUGGACUGAGACUGAAUUGCAGGGGCAGCUUUCCUGAGUCUCCCGCUGGCAGAGAGCAGAUGGCAGUACUUCUUGGCCUCCAAUCAUCAUAACCCUGACACCACCCCCAGCAAGAGGUGGCCUCUUUGUCCCCUCCCCUUAAACUCGGGUGAGUCUUUGUGCCUGCCUUGCUCUUACGGUGUGGUGGGAGUGAUGCUGUGGAACUUUCGAGUUGUCACAAGAGGUUGUGCAGCUCACUCUUGGCAUGUUUGCCACCAAAAUCCCACCAUCCCUUGGAGAGGCCCCUUGCAGGUGUCCCGGCUGAUGGUCCUAGCUGAAGUUCUGACUGACAGCUGUCAUCAGCGGCCACCGAUUUAGGACAACUAUGAAGUGCCAUCUUAGUCCCAAACUUCCCGGGGGAUCGAGUGUAUGCACGUGGAGACUCAUGCGUGAGUACAGAGGUGGGCCGGGGUGGCUGUCAGGGCCCAAAAUAUUCACUUGGAAGAUAAGAGAAUGUACGUGGUGUAAAAAGUCUUGAGUCCAGGUAAUACGACCUAGGGAGAAAGUACAUAGAAAAGGGUGGAAGGCUGAGCUUGGGGCACUCCAUCACCAGCUGGAUGGCGGGGAGAGGGGAGGAAAGGCAGCAGUGUGUGGUGCCUGCAGAGGGGCUGUGUCAAAGGGGAGGGCUGCCGGGAGCUGGGGAACAGGACACUAGGAUGUCCACGCAACCUGAUGCCAUGAAGUCAUUGGUGACCUGUCAAGAAGAGUGUUACUGCAGAGCAGAGGGUGAAAGCCAGGGGAGUUCAUGACCGGAGCUGAGGCGGUGUGUGGAGCGCUGCUGGGGAAGGGGGCGGUCAAGUGAUGGUGAGAGGGCUGGCUUUCCAGAAGGGCCGGGCACUGCUUCCGUGUCAGGCAGAGAAGGUGGACACACAUGCAGGCAGGUUAGUACCUGGAAGCAGAAAUGCAAGGGCUUUUGCUGAGACCUUUUACAGAGAGAGGGUGCUGCAGUAAAAGCUUCCAACCCCAGCCCGUCUAAUCUGUGUCCAGAAGGUCAGUCAACAAACCCACCGAGGACAUCCUGACCUUUCCCUCUUCGGAGCUCUGUUCCUCUGGCUCAUUCCCAGCUGUGCGCGUCUCCGGGCUUCUCUGCCCCAUGGGGCUGUGGGCUCCUGAGUAGGACUUCUGUUCCUUUGCAUUCUCUGUGGUUCUAGGAAGUGCUUGGUCCCUGACAGAUGCCUCCUCAGCACUUGCGGAUGGAGAGCUUGUCAAUUUCAUCUAACCGGAAUCACUGGGGCCAUCCAGGAAUCAAAGCGGCUCAUGAAGAAAUUCCAUGCAAACAGGGCUCUUAAAAGCCAACCUGCCAGAAAGGGUAGAAUGGAGGAAGGACGAGAGGGUUCUAACACGUCCUGGAGGCAGAGCACCCACGGAAGUUUCUCAACACUUCUCGUCGGUUCAAGUGGAAGUGAGUAAAUUCCCUGACAUCCCUAC